UUUUGUCUCCUUCCCACAGUGAGUCUGCAGGCUGCGUGUCACUCACGUUCAGCUAAGACGUAGUGCCCCAUGGCUCCUCCUGUGGAGACAAGAGACCCAGGAAAGAGGCAUCACAAACCUAGGCACCAUCUUGCCUCUUCUCUCUUCCUUAUUUUCCUCAUUCACCCAUCUCAAUUUAGACCUGGGCACUAUUGGAUUUCAAGAACCAUUAUCUCUCAUCUGGAAAUGCUUAUUGGCUUUCUAACUGGUCUCCUCACCUCUCAUCUAACUUCUUAACAACACAUUCACCAUAUAAGGGAGAUCGUGGUCCUCCUUUCUUAGGAUCCUUCAAUGACACCCCAGUGAUCAUAACCCAAUAUCCCAAAAGACCCUUGGACUCUGUAUGAGCUGGCUUCUUUCUGAUUCUCUUUUCCCUACACCACAGAUGUUCAGGGGGUAGAAAUGCAUAAUUGGUGAGUGAUAGCUACGCAAACUCAGGGUUAAGGUACAGUAAUUAUUUCUAAUCUCCCAGUAUGCCUUAUACUCUCCUACUUGGCAUGGUUGCUCCGUCUGUGUAGACCUCCCAUCAUCUUCAACCUCACCUAAUGGAAUCCAGCUUCUCCUUCAAGAUCCAGAAGGCUAUCUUGAUCCCCAGCUGAAUGUGAUCAUUCUUUCCUUUGACACCCUAAGCAUUUGCUUCCUGCCUGCUUUAGGACCUCAUGGGGUCUUCUUUAACUACAUUUACUUGCUAUCAAUUUCAUUCCCUACCAGAUUUGGGUUCUGAGAAUAGCCACAGUGACUUCUCAACCUCAAAGCCCCUGUACUACCUUAAACAGCUCUUGCAAAAUAGUAGGUGCUCUGAAGAUGUUUGUUGAAUUAGAGACUUUCAUUCUGGGGAGAACCAUUAUUUUCUGUCUCCCAGGGAGCUGCUGGUGUCCCCAAAGAAUAUAAAUGAGAAAAAUGCUUCCCAUGGAUGCCAGAUCCCCUCUGCCCCUCUUCCCACUGUGCCCUGGGGCAGAGGUACUAAGAGACUUCCCCCUUGUUCCUACUCACUUGAACCCUGCCUCUUCCUUAAUAUUAUGAACAAAAUUCCAAUGAACAAGAUGACGACAAAAACAGCAAUUCCACUGAUGACUCCAAUGACUAGGGUGCCAGACGGUGAGGGCUCUAAAACAGAAAAAGCAAGUUAAAGCCUUUGAUUGCCACCCUCAGCCCACCCCCUAACAAAGAGCAGAUCCUCAUCUCACUGCCAUAAUU
rnacentral:lncRNA from 1 species